CCUGGCGGCUAUAGCGAGUAGGUACCACCCGAUUCCAUUUCGAACUCGGUAGUGAAAAUGCUCAGCGCCGAUGGUAGUGUGGGGUCUCCCCAUGUGAGAGUAGGACACCGUCAGGC
rnacentral:rRNA from 1 species